rnacentral:rRNA from 1 species
AGUGAAGUCAUUGAUGCCAUGCUUCCAGGAAAAGCCUCUAAGCUUCAGAUAGUCAGGAAUCGUACCCCAAACCGACACAGGUGGUCGGGUAGAGAAUACCAAGGCGCUUGAGAGAACUCGGGUGAAGGAACUAGGCAAAAUGGUACCGUAACUUCGGGAGAAGGUACGCUCUUGAUGGUGAAGUCCCUCGCGGAUGGAGCUGACGAGAGUCGCAGAUACCAGGUGGCUGCAACUGUUUAUUAAAAACACAGCACUGUGCAAAAUCGCAAGAUGACGUAUACGGUGUGACGCCUGCCCGGUGCCGGAAGGUUAAUUGAUGGGGUUAGCGUAAGCGAAGCUCUUGAUCGAAGCCCCGGUAAACGGCGGCCGUAACUAUAACGGUCCUAAGGUAGCGAAAUUCCUUGUCGGGUAAGUUCCGACCUGCACGAAUGGCGUAAUGAUGGCCACGCUGUCUCCACCCGAGACUCAGUGAAAUUGAAAUCGCUGUGAAGAUGCAGUGUACCCGCGGCUAGACGGAAAGACCCCGUGAACCUUUACUACAGCUUGGCACUGAACAUUGAACCUACAUGUGUAGGAUAGGUGGGAGGCUAUGAAGACGUGACGCCAGUUGCGUUGGAGCCGUCCUUGAAAUACCACCCUUGUAUGUUUGAUGUUCUAACUUAGACCCGUUAUCCGGGUUGAGGACAGUGCCUGGUGGGUAGUUUGACUGGGGCGGUCUCCUCCCAAAGAGUAACGGAGGAGCACGAAGGUGGGCUAAUCACGGUUGGACAUCGUGAGGUUAGUGCAAUGGCAUAAGCCCGCUUAACUGCGAGAAUGACGGUUCGAGCAGGUGCGAAAGCAGGUCAUAGUGAUCCGGUGGUUCUGUAUGGAAGGGCCAUCGCUCAACGGAUAAAAGGUACUCCGGGGAUAACAGGCUGAUACCGCCCAAGAGUUCAUAUCGACGGCGGUGUUUGGCACCUCGAUGUCGGCUCAUCACAUCCUGGGGCUGAAGUCGGUCCCAAGGGUAUGGCUGUUCGCCAUUUAAAGUGGUACGCGAGCUGGGUUUAGAACGUCGUGAGACAGUUCGGUCCCUAUCUGCCGUGGGCGUUGGAAGAUUGAAGGGGGCUGCUCCUAGUACGAGAGGACCGGAGUGGACGAACCUCUGGUGUUCGGGUUGUGUCGCCAGACGCAUUGCCCGGUAGCUAAGUUCGGAAUUGAUAAGCGCUGAAAGCAUCUAAGCGCGAAGCGAGCCCUGAGAUGAGUCUUCCCUGAUACUUUAAGUAUCCUAAAGGGUUGUUCGAGACUAGAACGUUGAUAGGCAGGGUGUGUAAGCGUUGUGAGGCGUUGAGCUAACCUGUACUAAUUGCCCGUGAGGCUUAACCAUACAACACCCAAGGGGUUUUGUA